rnacentral:misc_RNA from 1 species
GAUGAAGAACGUAGCGAAAUGCGAUACUUGGUGUGAAUUGCAGAAUCCCGUGAACCAUCGAGUCUUUGAACGCAAGUUGCGCCUCAAGCCAUUAGGUUGAGGGCACGUCUGCCUGGGCGUCACAUAUCGUUGCCUGAUGCCAGUUUCCUCGUGAUGGGUGACUGUGCAGGGCGAAUGAUGGCUUCCCGUGAGCAUUGUUGCCUCAUGGUUGGUUGAAAAUUGAGUCCUUGGUAGGGAGCGCCGUGAUAGAUGGUGGUUGAGUGACGAACGAGACCCAAUCAUGUGAGUCCCCUACCGAAUUUGGCCUUCAUGACCCACAUGCGUCUUUGGAACGCUCAUGACGAGACCUCAGGUCAGGCGGGGCUACCAGCUGAGUUUAAGCAUAUCAAUAAGCGGAGGA